rnacentral:rRNA from 1 species
AUUGAACGCUGGCGGCAGGCCUAACACAUGCAAGUCGAGCGGAUGAAGGGAGCUUGCUCCUGGAUUCAGCGGCGGACGGGUGAGUAAUGCCUAGGAAUCUGCCUGGUCGUGGGGGAUAACGUCCGGAAACGGGCGCUAAUACCGCAUACGUCCUGAGGGAGAAAGUGGGGGAUCUUCGGACCUCACGCUAUCAGAUGAGCCUAGAUCGCAUUAGCUAGUUGGUGGGGUAAAGGCCUACCAAGGCGACGAUCCGUAACUGGUCUGAGAGGAUGAUCAGUCACACGGGAACUGAGACACGGUCCAGACUCCUACGGGAGGCAGCAGUGGGGAAUAUUGGACGAAGGGGGAAAGCCUGAUCCAGCCAUGCCGCGUGUGUGAAGAAGGUCUUCGGAUUGUAAAGCACUUUAAGUUGGGGGGAAGGGCAGUAAGUUAAUACCGUGCGGUUUUGACGUUACCAACAGAAUAAGCACCGGCUAACUUCGUG